CUUGGGGAAAAGCUUCUGUUUGAUCCAAGAACUCUUCAUUCUCUGGCAAAAUCCCUCUGUAUAUUGAAUAUCAGCAAUAAUAAUAUUGAUGACAUUAGAGACUUAGAAAUACUGGAGAAUCUUAAUCAGCUCAUAGCCGUUGACAACCAACUUCUGCAUGUGAAGGAUUUGGAGUUUUUACUGAACAAGUUGAUGAAGCUGUGGAAAAUUGAUCUAAAUGGAAAUCCUGUUUGUCUCAAACCAAAAUACAGGGACAGACUGAUAUUGGUGUCCAAAUCACUGGAAUUUCUUGAUGGAAAAGAAAUUAAAAAUAUAGAAAGACAAUUCCUAAUGAAUUGGAAAGCAUCCAAAGAUGCCAAGAAAAUCAGCAAAAAAAGGAGCAGUAAAAAUGAGGAUGCAAGCAAUUCACUCAUAAGUAAGCACUCU
rnacentral:sRNA from 1 species